CAGGCAUCUCGAGAAGAUAAAAAGAAAGGCAUUUCUUUUGCAAGUGAACUCAAGAAGCUCACCAAGUCAACUAAACAGCCCCGAGGACUUACAUCACCUUCUCAGCUCUUGACCUCAGAAAGUAUCCAAACCAAGGAGGAGAAACCUGUGGGUGGCUUGUCCUCCAGUGACACAAUGGAUUACCGACAGUGACUAAGGGCAGCAUGUUUAACCCAGGAAGAUGUCCCUUGAAGGCAGGUAGGAAUGGGAACUUAAAACAGGAAAAGGGCUCUGAAGAUAUGUGUAACAUGAUAUGCUAUUGAACACUGUUUAAGAAAAAGGGAAAGAGGCCAGGCGCGGUGGCGCAUGCCUAUAAUCCCAGCACUUUGGGAGGCCGAGGCAGGCAGGUCACCUGAGGUCAGUUCAAGAUCAGCCUGACCAACAUGGAGAAACCCCGUCUCUACUAAAACUACAAAAUUAGCUGGGCGUGGUGGUGCAUGCCUAUAAUCCCAGCUACUUGGGAGGCUGAGGCAGGAGAAUCGCUUGAACUCAGAAGGCGGAGGUUGCAGUGAGCCGAGAUCACACCAUUGCACUCCAGCCUGGGCAACGGGAGUGAAACUCCGUCUCAAAAAAAAAAAAAAAAGGAAAGAAAAAAUAUAUAUAUAUAUAUCUAUAUAUGCAACUUGAGUUUUUGUAAUUUUAGA
rnacentral:sRNA from 1 species